rnacentral:rRNA from 1 species
CCUACGGGUGGCAGCAGUGAGGAAUAUUGGGCAAUGGACGCAAGUCUGAACCAGCCAAGCCGCGUGCAGGAAGACGGCUCUAUGAGUGGUAAACUGCUUUUGUACGAGGGUAAACGCAGAUACGCGUAUCUGUCUGAAAGUAGCGUACGAAUAAGGAGCGGCUAACUCCGUGCCAGCAGCCGCGGUAGUACGGAGGAUGCAAGCGUUAUCCGGAUUUAUUGGGUUUAAAGGGUGCGUAGGCGGUCGGCUAAGUUAGAGGUGAAAUCCCGGGGCUCAACUUCGGAAUUGCCUCUGAUACUGUUCGGCUAGAGAGUAGUUGAGGUAGGCGGAAUGUCUGGUGUAGCGGUGAAAUGCUUAGAUAUCAUGCAGAACACCGAUUGCGAAGGCAGCUUACCAAGCUACUUCUGACGUUGAGGCACGAAAGCGUGGGGAGCAAACAGGAUUAGAUACCCGGGUAGUC